AACGAACGCUGGCGGCAUGCCUAACACAUGCAAGUCGAACGAGACCUUCGGGUCUAGUGGCGCACGGGUGCGUAACGCGUCGGAACCUGCCCUUAGGUUCGGAAUACCUCCCCGACAGGGGUGCUAAUACCGGAUAAUGUCUUCGGACCAAAGAUUGAUCGACCUUGGAUGGGCCCGCGUUGUAUUAGCUAGUUGGUAGGGUAAAAGCCUACCAAGGCGACGAUCCAUAGCUGGGCUGAGAGGCAGAUCAGCCACACUGGGACUGAGACACGGCCCAGAAUCCUACGCGAGGCAGCAGAGGGGAAUAUUGGACAAUGGGGGAAAGCCUGAUCCAGCAAUGCCGCGUGAGUGAUGAAGGCCGGAGGGUAGUAAAGCUCGUUUACCCGGGAUGAUAAUGACAGUACCGGGAGAAUAAGCUCCGGCUAACUCCGUG
rnacentral:rRNA from 1 species